rnacentral:rRNA from 1 species
UGUGCCAGCCGCCGCGGUAAUACGUAGGGUGCGAGCGUUAAUCGGAAUUACUGGGCGUAAAGCGUGCGCAGGCGGAUUGUUAAGCAAGAUGUGAAAUCCCCGGGCUUAACCUGGGAAUGGCAUUUUGAACUGGCAGUCUAGAGUGCGUCAGAGGGGGGUGGAAUUCCGCGUGUAGCAGUGAAAUGCGUAGAGAUGUGGAGGAACACCGAUGGCGAAGGCAGCCCCCUGGGAUGACACUGACGCUCAUGUACGAAAGCGUGGGUAGCAAACAGGAUUAGAUACCCUGGUAGUCCACGCCCUAAACGAUGUCAACUGGUUGUUGGGGGAGUGAAAUCCCUUAGUAACGAAGCUAACGCGUGAAGUUGACCGCCUGGGGAGUACGGUCGCAAGAUUAAAACUCAAAGGAAUUGACGGGGACCCGCACAAGCGGUGGAUGAUGUGGAUUAAUUCGAUGCAACGCGAAAAACCUUACCUACCCUUGACAUGUCCGGAAUCCUGCAGAGAUGCGGGAGUGCCCGAAAGGGAAUCGGAACACAGGUGCUGCACGGCUGUCGUCAGCUCGUGUCGUGAGAUGUUGGGUUAAGCCCCGUAACGAGCGCAACCCUUAUCCUUAGUUGCCAGCACCUCGGGUGGGAACUCUAAGGAGACUGCCGGUGAUAAACCGGAGGAAGGUGGGGACGACGUCAAGUCAUCAUGGCCCUUAUGACUAGGGCUACACACGUGUUACAAUGGGCAAUACAGAGGGCAGCAAAGCGGCGACGUGAAGCUAAUCCUUAAAAUUGUUCGUAGUCCGGAUUGGAGUCUGAAACUCGACUCCAUGAAGUUGGAAUCGCUAGUAAUCGCGAAUCAGCAUGUCGCGGUGAGUACGUUCCCGGGCCUUGUACACACCGCCCGUCACACCAUGUGAGUGGGUUGUACCAGAAGC